rnacentral:snRNA from 1 species
GGAUGUGAGGGUGACCUGGCUGAGACAUCUGUCACCCCACUGACUGCCAGGGUUAAGUAGGCUGAUCUGGCUGGCUAGAAGGGUGUCCCCUCUCUCCUUCCCCACUCCAUGUGCAUCCCUCCCGAAGUCGCACCUUCAGUGGAAGAGGACGCCCUUCCCCAAAUCGAGUCAGACCAGUUUUUUUUUUUAUUAUUCAAGGGUAGACUAAGAGUAGCUGUGCUCCCCUGCUAGAACCUCCAGCCAAGCUCUCAAGGAUCCCUUUCUGGCAUCUUGGUUACAUGAUUUAUUUCUUUAGACAACUGUUCUUUACAGAAAAAGCAAUGGUU